UACAUGUUUUAUGCAAACAUAAUUUUUUAUUUCUCUGGGAUAAAUGUCCAAGUGUGAGCAUAUUGCCUAUUUUAAAGCAUUAAUAAUGGAAAAUAGUGCUGUUCAGAAACGAACAAGGUGCCCCCAUGGAUCCUGCCUGGAGUAGGUGCUCUGUGCAGCGGGGUGCUGCAAUACCGCCUCCCUUCCCCUGGCAUCCAGCCUGCCUCCCGUGGAGCCUCUUCCACAAACAUUAUCAUGAUCACUCUGACCUUGAUUUAUGUUUUAGGAUUUGCAAUGUUCCUUCUCAUGCAAUUGCCUGUGUCUGGCAGGGGUGGGGCCCAGGCUUGCCUGCAGUCUCUGUGGCCUCCCACAUUCUUACUUCACUGGCCCAUUGCUUGUCCCUAGGCUGCUUCCUUCUCUUAGCUCAUCAAGCAACACACCUUCACAAAUACCUCGCUGUCAGGCCAGAAGGCAGAAGCCAGGCGGGGGCCACCCACCAGCAAGAAUGCAUCUGGACCCAACACAAAGGACUUUGGUCAGCGGAAGGUCUGCUCUUGCCUUGUAGCAGAACUCUACCACCAGCCAGAUCCCCCAGCUUUGGUGGAUCUCUCCUCCCCACGGGCCUCUAGGUGUCCUACUGCUCGUGUCCUGUGUAGCUCCCUCCCACAUGGACUGUGUAACCAGAGGGAGGUCACAGGAAUGAUGAAGCACGGCUCCCGAGACUCUGCUAUAUGUCUCCUGGGUCGCUCACCCAGGAGGGCUGAGAGGAGGCCGACCACCCUGCAGCAAGGAUGCUCAUGCAGUCCCAUGGAGUGGUCCAUGUGGGGAGACAGCCAAAACCACCCAGCUGAGCUGUCUCUGUGUCCCUGAGCCUCCAAAAUUGUCUGAGAUCAUGUUUAUUAUUGGUUUACGCCAAGCAGUUUGGGGGUAACUUGUAACACCCUUCCCUUCUGGGAGGAUUUCAUGACCCACAGGUGGGCUGCCAUCCAUCGUGUGGAAAGCACUGUUGGAAAGCUUUCCAUCUGCCCACCCCGGUGUCAGGACACGGCCUUCCUGGUUAUUUCAGCGUCCCCUGAGCAACCACCUGACCAAGCUCCACAGAAAGGUGGUUAAGGGCAGAUAUUGAAUCCCGGCUCUGCAGUUGAUUAGCUUAGAACCUCGGGCAAGUCCCACUAUUGAUCUUUGCCUCAGUUUCUCCACCUCUAAAGCAGGGGUGGUAACAAUAGUGCUUGCCACUGGGAUUAUUGUGAGGAUCUGCUGGCACACGUCACGUCCUUGCGACAGUGCCCCACGCAUUUUGGGAGUGUAGAGCUGGGGACUGAUGCGUGGCAGACUGUGUUCCGAGGCUGGGGAUGCACCAAAGAGCAGAGUCAUUAGAGGGUGGGCCUGCCUGAGGUUGUGUCUACGUCUUUCCUGCUUGCAUUUCAUUGAAAACUUUAUUAACCAUACGUGUCGGUUCCGGGCUGAAUGGGAAGGCUGUGGAGGAGGAAGAUGCUGAGCUCACCUCCUCCCACGGACACACUAGGGCUGCAUAUAGCUACGUAUAGAGUACUCCUUUCCAGGAAGAACCUGGCAGCCAGCAAAACAGGUCAGCUGCAGUUGAAGAAAUGCAGAGGAAACCACAUCCAUAAGGGUAGCGAGGGCAGAGACGCAGGCCCUCGGGAACCAAACCCCCAGCAUGGGGACCUGCAUGUACGGGUGAUGCCUCAGCAUUGAGGUCCUCCCUAGAAGGGUUCAAGCCCCAACCUGAGGUACCCCUCUAGGUAUCUGUACUGGAAAGAUGAGCCCCCAUAAUGUCUCACUUUGAAAAUCAGCAGGACUUAACUCUGGGAGAGCCAGAGGUCUGCAGGAAUCGAAGACCCCAGGCCUAUAAGGCCAGCGUGCUAUGUCACUGGGUUCAAGACCCAGCACCGGAAUGCCUGGGUGGCUCAGUGGUUGAGCAUCUGCCUUUGGUCCAGGGCAUGAUCCUGGAGUUUCAGGAUCAAGUCCCGGGUCGGGUUCCCUGCAUGGAGCCUGCUUCUCCCUCUGCCUGUGUCUCUGCCUCUCUCUGUGUGUGUGUCUUUCAUGAAUAAAUAAAAUCUUAAAAAAAAAAAAAAAAAAAAAAAAAAAAAGACCCAGCACGGAGGCAGCAGUCUGAAAAGCACCUAGGGCUGUUCACGAAGGGCAUCGAUAUAUUGAGUGAUUUUAGGACGUGUGCUGGAGGAGCAGGGAUCUACAGGAACUUUCUCCAGGAACGAAGCAGGGGCAGUCACCAUAUCCCUUGCUGGCCCUGCCCGCCCUGCCUUACCGUCCCUCUGCAGACCUGUCCCAUCCAACUUGCUCACCCCUGCCACCCUCCCUGCAAAAAGCAGCUCUGCCCUGGAGGAUGGGCAUCCCCACCCACCUAGUAGGCCUGCUAGGUGGCAGCCAGCCCCACCCAUCAGCACACCUGCAGCACCUGAGGACUCAGUCACAAAAGGAGGACUUGAGAGCCCACACA
rnacentral:lncRNA from 1 species